AUACCAGAAGACCAGGGGUCAGAUCACAUGGUAAGAGCCUUGUAGACUAGAUGAUAAAGGAGUAAAAUCUUAUCCCACAGCACUGGGAAGACUUUAGAGAGGUUUUUGCCUGCGUGUAGUGCUAUUUGAUUUUGAGUGAAUGAGAGAUGAGGAAGUGGAGACUAUAAAUAUCGUUAACUUCCUCAAGAUAUUGUGCCGAGCAGAGUAGUUAACUAAUACUUAUUUACUGCUUGUCACGAACCGGUCAAUAUUUUAACUAUUUUUUUACCAUCAGUAAUGUAAUACUACUUACUCCUACAAUGGAACAGGAACUGUCAUUAGUCUUAUGUUGCUUACAUGUAAGGACACUGAGGCACAGAGAAGGACCUAGAGUAAAAGUGGAGUUUUUUGUUUUCACUUGCUUGUUUUUCUUUUGAUAGGACAGAGGUGGAGCUUCUAUUUUAAUAAGAAAGAAAAUAGAGAAUAUGGCUUAAAUUCAGGUGGGUUUAUUGUUUGAUAGAAGUUAGGAGUCUUUCCCAUUAUGGCAUCAAUUUUCUCAAUGUUCAUCAGCUGAGGAAGAAAGGACCAGGGAGACACAAGGGUGAGAAAUGACUGGUCAGUAGAAAUAGGAGUGUACUGAGAAAUGUUUAACAACUUGUUUUCCUCUAAAAGCUUACUUAUCCUUUACAGUUAGAUCUAUAAUCUGUCUGUGGUUAACAUUUUAGUAUGAUAUAAAGUAGGGAUCCAUUUUCAGAUGGAAAUCCAGUUUAUACAACACUAUUAAAAUUACUAUUAUUUCUCUAGUAAAUCACAGUGUCACCUUUGCCAGUUAGUUAAGUUUAUACGUCUGGAUCUCUUUAUGGAUCUUUGACUCUUCUCUGUUGGUCAGUUGAAAAUCUUUAUAUUUUGCCUGAAGUUUUCCAUAUCUGCAAUGAAGGCUCAAAUAAGACCUCUUGGGUUUGCUUUUAUACCUUCCAGGAGACUUACUGAGGUCAAGUCUAAAUAUCUACAUAUGAAAUACAAGGUCCCCACUAUUACUUGUUCCAAAUAUGGUGUGAAGUAAAUUAACUAGUAUGAGGCACUGCUUAGAUUCUCCCUACAGGACAGAAAGUUUUAGUUCUCUAGUUACUGGGAAGACUGUCAAUAUUCAGCCCUUAGCUGUUAGUUCUCUUUGGGAUUGCUGAAAAACAGCUACCUUGCCCAAACUUGUGUCUCCUUCCUGGGGCUGCCCAUGUCAAAUGACUCCUCUUACUGACUGGUGAUCUCAGGGAAUGAGAAGCUGAAGGGAUCAGGAGGUAGAGGCUUUAUGGAGAUCAAUGCUACUUGACCUGAGUCUGCUGGUGGAGAUGUUCCUUCUUUGGGAGCUGAGACCUCAAACUCUGAAGAGCCCUGAGUUGUAGCAAUAAGAAGCUUCUCCAAGAACUUGGGGAAACUCCCCAAGGAGUGAUGACUUCCUGUUCAGCAAGCCCCAAGCCUCGUGACAGGACUUCUGCUCUGUUUACCAAUAGUGUGAGUCAGGGCUUGUGGUUGUGGCACAGUCAGCCCCACAGCAGCUUUAUCUCCUCUGACUUGAGGGAAGCCACCAAUGGACUGGAAGGGGAAUCUGGAAGAUCCAUUGGUCCUGAGACUUCAACUCUGCAUGCUGUGAUUGCUUUGGCUCUGACCUCGAGGAAUGAAUGUUUUCUGACUUCUGCGUAAAGGCUAGAAGACAAAGAAGAGGUGAGAGAAGCAGAUAUGGAAUGGUGAAACUCCUGCACUCCUCCAAGUGAUCUUUUUACCUGGAAAGGGAGAGAAUGUGUGUUCUGUCAGCAGCUAAGAGCACAGAUCUGGUUACUGAUCAAGACUGAAGCGAGGCUGAGAAAAUGCAGAACUGAGGUAAAAAGUUCCAGGAAACACUGUGAGUCCUGUCACGAUGUUUUGUGGUAUUUCAUAUGCUUAGAAAAAGGUGAACCUGAGGUGAAUAUGAAAAAGGUAAAGGCUUAGUUUAAUCUGAGAAACAGAAAACUAAAGCAAAAUAUGAAUUUUUGUUUUUAGGGUAAUAUAAAUGACUUUUUGCUUUUGUUGAAAAGAAGAACCAUUAGUUAAUUGGAAUUUGGGGCACACUUUGGGUAAAACCUAAAUCCUUUGUCAUGAUCCUUAAUGCUUCACUGACCACAUCACCUGUCAUGCUCUCCUCACUCAAGGUGAUCUGGUCACACUGGCUUUCAUUUAUUUCCUUGUACACUUGCUGUGACCUUAAGACCUUUUAUAUUUGCCUUUCCCUCUGCCUGAAAUGCCUUUCAUAUUGCUUUCACUUGGUGGGCUUAUGCUCCUCAUUUAGAUCCCAGUUCAAAUGUCUCCUUACAAAGCCUUUGCUGGAUCACCCUAAUCAGCCUGCGGUUCCCUCUUGCCUGCCAUCUGUGGACCCUUCCAAGUUUCUCCUCUCCUUUGAGACACACAGAAAGAUGAUAUUUUCCUGAUGUUCUUGAAGUCAAGCAGGCCUCUGGAACAAGCUCUGGGCGAUAGGACAUAUGUAAAAACGAUGUGAUGGUGGAGUCUCAUCUGCCUUGGUGUGAACCAGGUGUUAGCACCACAAGAAUCAGAGUCCCCUGGUGUAGGGUAUGAAGAAAAAACUAACUUUGUUGCUUUGUGACACUGAGAUUUCGGGAGUUGUUUGUUAUUGCAACAAAACUGUCCUCAUUCUGUCUAAAACACCAUUCUUCUGUUUUCUUCAGAGCACCUGUCCCUCUUUGCAAUGAUCUCAUUUAUUUGUUGUUAAUCUCUCACCCACUUCCAAAUGUUGCUAGGUGUGUUAGUUAUACACAAUACACUGAAGGAUUAACCUUCCACAUGGUCCAUGGAUCCCAUCAAACUCAAACAACCUUAAACAGGUCUUUCAUCCCUUAGGCUACCUGCCAACUGAUCUGGCAUGAAUGGCCCUUGAUGAACUAGGCUAGAUGCCCACUACCUCAAUGCUCUCCCUACCCCAACCCAUUUCUCCUGGCAGGGGGAAGCUCUUAAUUUGUUUCAGAAAGACUGAGCAGAACCUGGUAGAACAGAUGUUGUUUUCUGUCCCUAAAGAGCAUCUCCUCCAAACAUGGACCCUAGGAAAGAAGAGGCUGUGUGUUUCCAGAGCCUGCAUAGAUUCUGCUCUCUCCAGGUCCCCACCCAAUUCAGCUAGAUAGAACCCAUAUUCCCAUAGGCCACACACCAGCCCCACCUUGGCUACGUCUGUUCAUUGUACAAAACUUUAAAGGAAUGUCUCUAUUUAGAAAAUGAAAGGAUUGCACUGCAUCAGUAGUUUCUGAACUGUGAUCCCUGAGGUGCAAGAGGAAUGGGAAAGAGACUUCUAUGAGUUGACCUUUGUCUGCUCUCUCCUCCUUGGCUUCCUCUUCAGCUAAAGCAUCUCUCUUUCUCUUAUUAAAAAAAUCUGUUUUAUAUAUUGAGUAUUUUAUAUAGCUGUUCAUCUGAAUAUGGGUUUGUUGCUUUUAAACAAGUGCCAAAAAGUUGGAGUAGAUAUUUUUGAAAGCCCUUUCUGUUUCCAGUGUUCUAAAAAUCUAGGAGCUUAGUAUGCUCAAGGUACUGUGCUGGGCAUGGGGUACAUGAAAAUGAAGGAGACAUCACCUCUGACCUCCUUAUUUAGCAGAAGAAAGAGAUGCUUUCAUGAAUAAUAUCAGAAAUGAAUUAAGGUGGUAGAAGGAGGGAUGAGAGGAGUGUGCCAAGUGUGGCAUGUCUGUGAGGAUCACGACCAAGUACAAAAGUCCUGCUAUUUGGGGCCUUUUUUACUCCCCGCCAGGCAGUAUAGUUAAUGAAGCAGAACCUUCUCCAAGUCUUGACACAAGCACUUUUAUUGCUUCUAAAUUGACUUUGAUACCCCAGCUCCCCAGUACUCAGUUUCUUGCUUUGUUUUCUAAUUUUUCCCUGAGACUUUUUGUGACAUAUUCCAUGUCUUUAGCAAUUUUAUGUCUUAUUAAAAAUGUGGAUGACACAUGGCUUGGCAGUUUCAAUUAGAAGUCAAACAUUGUUUAUAAAAACAUAAAAUUCACUCCAAUGUUAAGAGCUUCAGAGAUGAGAAAUAUUCAUUGCUAAGAAAUAUCAAAUUAGUAGAUUUGUGGCCCUGGCCACCUUGCUACCUCUGAUGACUCAGAUACAAAAGUGUUACUAUGUCUCAUUGCAGCAGAGUCCUCUGAUUCUCUGGGGUUCCAGUGCAGGCUCUGCCACUGUCUUUGGAUUUGGGUUUGUCUUUUUUUUUUUUUUUAAUUUUUAUUGGCAUAUAGAUGAUAUACAGUUUUGAGUUAGUUUCAGGUAUACAGCGAACUAUUAUAUAUAUAAUAUUAUUUUUUAGAUUAUUUUCCCAUGCGGGUUAUUACAAUAUAUUGAAUAUAGUUCCCUGUGGUGUACAGUAGGUCCUUGUUGGUUAUCCAUUUCAUGUAUAGUAGUAUGUAUAGUUUAAUCCUAACUCCGAAUUUAUCCCUUUGUCUCACUUCCCUUGCCUUCAGUUUCUUCUGUGUACAAAGAACAUAUCAAAUCUUAUUAACUUACUACAUGUUAAUCUGUUUCUUUUUUUGGUCAUGCAUUCAUUUAUUUAAAAUUCUAAUUUUUAAAAUAGGCAUAUAUUCAAAUGCCUUAAAAUCCAAAUGCUACAAACGUACCUGCAGUAAAGCUUCUCACGCUCAUUCCUAUUUUCCAUUUGCCCAAUUCCCACCCUUCCCUUUAUCCAUAGGUAAUUAUUUUUAUUACUUUUUAUUAGCUUUUCUAGAUGUUCUUCCAUAAAAUUUCCCUGCAGACAUAGUCAAAUACAAAUAUCUUGUCUCCCUCCCCCUUAUUAGUACAAUUGAGGAGCACAUUGUAUACACUCUCAGUACCUAGAAACCUGUCUUUUCUAUUGAUAGAAUGAAUGCACCUUUAUUCUUCUAUUCAGCUGGUGGACAUCCCAUUUCAUUAGUGUAGUUUAACUCAUUUAACUAGUUUCCUAAUGAUAGCUGUAUGGGUUUAUUAUCUUUUGCUAUUACAACUAUGUUGUAAUAAAUAUCCUUGUGCACAUGUCAUUUCUAAUGUACGUAAAUGUCUGAGAAGAAAGUCGUAGAAGUGGGUUUACUAGUUGAAAGAGUGUAUACCUUUUGUAAAUUUGUAACUUUGAUAGCUACACUCAAAUAGCCCUCCAUAGGUGUUGUACUACAUGACUCUUCCACUACAAAUGCAUGAAAGUACUGGUUUCCCCACAAUCUCACCAUCAGAAUCUGCUCUCAAACUCUUGGAUUAUGCCAGUCUAGUAGGUUAGACAUGGUACCUUAAUGAAAUUUUAAUUUGCAUUUUUAUUUUUAUA